GACCUCCGGUGCCCCGCUAGUGAUUCGAGCACUCAAUUGGCUGGUCACCCUUGUUGCGGGCACUCCCGGUCUACAAGGUCGCGCCUGCCGACUCUCAUCGCUCCCGGUCUGCAAGCGUGAGUGGACGUAUGCAGUGGGGAAAGAGGAGCGAGGAACUACAGAUGGCUGAGGAUGAGCAAAAGCAAUAAUUGAUUCGGUUGUCAGCCGUCGGAUUAUGCUCACGGGGCCAAGAUUAAGGAAGAAGUUCAUGAGACGGUCUACACGGAGAAUUAGAACUUCUAAUAUACAACCAUUCCUGUAAUUGGUACCGAGCUCUGAAGAUUAUCUCUUUUUCCCCAAGGAACUGCGCAUAACAGCUUUCGCGAGGACUCACUAUUAUUUCGACCAGGCACUGGUGAGUGGUGAGUUUGCAACCUGCCAUGUGAGUGGUGAAUUUGGUGACCCAAGGAUAUUAAUUGAAUUUGGAGAGAUGAAAUAUGAUAGGACAUGUUGUAUACCAUCAAGCAUCAAGGACAUAUUUUAUUAUCAUGGUACUGGCUAUUUCCCAUUGAGAAAAUUCACCCAGAGUGUACAUAACUUGACAGAUCAAAAUCAGGUGCCGACAUACUCUUCUCUCCAACAUACUACAUCACUAUCUCUUGAAUCAAACAUUUUUUUUUUGCUUGCCGUGGAAACAUAUAACAAU